rnacentral:lncRNA from 1 species
GUUGGGAUGGAGCCAGGGCACUUGAAAGUGAGUUAAUCCUUUCCCCAUCAAAAUCCCCAGCAACAAUCUGGGUUUGUUUAGCCAUUUGGUACUGGCAUUUCAGGGCUUUUUUAUAAACACUGAGGGAAUCGCUCACUUUGGCAGUGGCCAGCACGGCUGUCACACCCGGGCGCCGAGUCCCUCUUGUUCGUGAGGGACGGCCACAUCGUACCUUUCAGGUGAGAAGAUGGUCUUAACUCUGCUCGGUCUGCCGGAGCCUCGGGGAUGGAUGAAUGGGGGGCUCACAAGUCUCAGGCUGAAAUGCGGAAUGAACACAUCUGCCAUAUCAUCUGAGUCCAAAGUUGAAAGGGGCUCUUCACCAAAACCUAGACAAAUAUUUGAAAGCCUGUCUUGGAAAGGAAGAUAAUGUCCAAUUGGUCUCUUUUAUAAUGCAUUUGUGUACAGGCGGGGGUGGGGGGGAAUGGGAUUUAAAAAUAAAGCCGUCUACGUCAGAGACUUGGAUU